rnacentral:rRNA from 1 species
UACGUAGGGGGCAAGCGUUGUCCGGAUUUAUUGGGCGUAAAGAGCGUGUAGGCGGCUUGGUAGGUCCGCUGUGAAAACUCGAGGCUCAACCUCGAGAUGUCGGCGGAAACCACUUGGCUAGAGUCCGGAAGAGGAGAGUGGAAUUCCCGGUGUAGCGGUGAAAUGCGUAGCUAUCUGGAGGAACACCGGUGGCGAAGGCGGCAUCCUGGACCGACACUGACGCUGAGGAGCGAAAGCCAGGGGAGCAAACGGG